AUGCUCUAAAGCAUACUACUAACACUACUUACCAGAAAUAAGAACUCUAAAACCAUAUACUAUCUUUGUGAAUUGUGAAAGAAUGUUUGUACCUAUUUAAUUGAACAGCUUGAUAUCAGACAACAUUAGGUUCAUCAGUCCUAACAUAGUGAGGCCAUAUAGUUUGGAUGAUACACUCUUUGCCUUGAAGGCUGACCCAAAAAGCAUAAAAGUUUGGGCAGUUUAAUUUUGCUUUGCUUCAAUAAAA
rnacentral:misc_RNA from 1 species